UUUGCUUCUCGGCCUUUUGGCUGAGAUCAAGUGUAGUAACUGACACAAAAGCAAAGCACAUUUUUUACUGUUCAUUAGUGAAUAUUAGGUUGUUUCCACAUUGUACUCCAUAUUGUGAGUAAUGUUGCUAUGA
ensembl:snRNA U2 U2 spliceosomal RNA